CUCCCAUGUAGCAGGUCAGGCCUGUUUGUAUAUGAGCUUUGCAAGCAGAAGGGGUCAAGGUGACACCCUGCCGGAAACUCAGGGCUGUGCCAAAGAUUAUUUGAAGAUAAAAUGAACCUUGAGCCCAGGAUCUGAUCAUUCAGAGGUAGGUGGUGAGAGCUGCUGCCCCACAGACCUGGCAGGUGGAGGUGAGGAAGGCGGCCGAGGCUCAGGAGAGCCCGACACCAUUGUUUUCUCGCUGACCUCCCCUCCCUGCAGUGUCCUAGUGCUACGCACACCAUUUCUCAGGCCCAUAGAGCCCAGGCUGGGCCUCCCGUCUCAGACGGCAAAGAGGGGACUGAAUUUUACCCCCACUCCCUCUCUCUCAGGGUGGGUGCCUCCUGCAGAUGCUGACAGCCCCACCCUCCCCACCUCCAAGAUUUGCUGGGGCUGAAAUGCCCCCACCCCCAGAUUCCAAUGAUCCAGCACAAAUGCCGCCUCUCCGAGGAAGCCUGCCUGGACCCCAUAUACUUCCAUGCCUACUGUGCGCAGGCAUUAUUCUGGGUCCUAGGGAUGCCGCUGUGAACAAAACAGACCAGCCAUGGAGCUCCUGCGGCUCCUUUAGGCUUCAGCAGGGGUGAGGGCAGGAGACAGGAGGCACAAGGGAAGAAAACAUCCCACUCGCUGAUCAUACGAACUCGUCUGACUUUAAACUUCCCAAGUGAUACCAGAGCAGAUGUUCAAACAGCCCCCAUAUCUUUCAUCUUUCAAAAAAAAAAAAAAAAUCCCAACCCAAUCUGAAGCUGUUGGGCAAUUGGACUAAUAGAUGCGUAAACCGCAGCGCCAAAUAAUUUCUGGCAAGCCCAAGAGCUGCCCACGAUGAUUGUUGCAGCUCCGACCGGCCUACUCUUAAUUUAUUUUAACAGCCCUCAGCCCUCCGGGCCAGCCGCACUACAAUAACCUAUUGUUAACAUGGAAGUCUCCCCAUGUGGGAACGGACAUUUGGAAGACCAUCUUUUGAACGGACACCAGGCUCACCAAGUCCUUGAUUCAGUAACACGGACUGCGGCAGCAAUUUGAGGGGAGAUGAGGCACCAGCCGGGCACAAAGACACAGACACCCCCUUUUUAUUUGUCAGAGCUGAGUUGUCAUACACUCCCUCGAAUAAAUGUUCCCAUCUGGAAUGAGUCACUUGGCAAGGACACGGAGAGCCUUUGCCAGCCCGUGGGCCGACCCGCCUGAACCCCGUAUUGGAAAAUAUCAAGUGGCCACUGUGUCCUCCUCCCGCUAACAUGCUCGGAGCACGGGGCCCUUUGCUGGCACUUGUUCAUCACCGCCCAGUCUGCUGACCUCCUGGCUGAGCAAGAGGCACACAUGCGCCCUGGGCUGUAAACUCAGCAGCUCGGGACGGGGGAGGGGCUGCAGGCCAGAUGAGGGGACAUCCCGCCCCGUGCCAGGCCCAGACACCAGCCCCUCCAUCUUUUCUGGGGGACCGCCCAGUGCCCAAGAUAGUGGGCCUCACUCACCCCCGCAGCCUGAUGCCCACAGUUGCUUUGACUUGUCUGCCAGGGCACGCCACGAAGUCCUGUUUUCCCAUGUGCUUCCUUGUGAUGUUCAGACAAAUGGCAUCAAAGCCACACGCUCUGGGAGGUGGAAGGUGUUUUGGAUUAAGCAUUCUCAGCCUUUACUGUGUACAUGGAUCACAGAUGUGGGGCUUGUUAACAUGCAGGUCCUGAUUCUAGGUCUGGGGCAGGGCCUGAGACUCUUAAUUUCUUUCUUUCUUUCUUUCUUUCUUUUUUUUUUUUUUUUGAGACAGAGUUUCGCUCUUGUCACCCAGGCUGGAGUGCAGUGGCACGAUCUCGGCUCACUGCAACCUGCACCUUCUGGGUUCAAGUGAUUCUCCUGCCUCACCCUCCCACGUAGCUGGGAUUACAGGCACCCAUCACCACGCCUGGCUAAUUUUUGUAUUUUUAGUAGAAACGGGGUUUCAUCAUGUUGGCCAGGCUGGUCUCAAACUCCUGACCUCAGAUGAUCCACCCACCUCAGCCUCCCAAAGUGCUAGGAUUACAAACAUGAGCCACCAUGCUUGGCCGUGCUUUCUUACAAGCUCAGGGUUAAGGAGGUACCCCUGCUGCUGGUGUACAGACCCCACUUUGAGUAGUGAAGGGCUGGUCCAAAUCCCCACCCAUACAGAAUCAGCUACAUCGAGAAGCACACACUCUCGUGAGUUUAACCAAAUGGACUGUUUGGGGCAGGAAGAACCCCAGAAAUGACACUGGGUUCCCCUUGGCGCUUCAUGUCACAGGCACACCGUGUCACCCUGGAGAUGGCAACAUGGAUCACUCAGUGUAAGUGACAUCUGCCAGGCUUCACCUGGCCAUUGUCCCCUUUGAAAUUAAUAAGUAUCUCAUGGAGAGAUACUUUGAGACGAUGCAAAUCGCCGUUCUUCAUCACACUUUUGCUCACUGAUGUCAGCAUCCGUUGAUGGUUUUGCCUGAAACGAUGACCACAGCGCUGUUUGUAAGCAGCGAUUUUCUAUUUCCAUUGUGCCCUCUAGGUUUAUUAAUUUUUAAGUUCAAAUUCUGGUCUGUGAUUACAGACCUACUCUAAUACCAAAAAAGAGCCCAGACACCCUUGAGCUGACAUCUCAGCAACACCUGUCACUGAC